UNGCACCAAGUCUGCUUAGCUCAUGCCUU
rnacentral:piRNA from 1 species